GAGAAGAGGUUUCGGUAACGGAAAUAAGAGGAGAAAGAUAUGGAUUGAGAAGGAAAUGGUGCGGUUGCGAAGAGAAUGAAAACGACGAAGAAGACCGUGAUCGAGUUUGAUCGUACGGUUGCCAUUGGAUUUGGAGGGUAAGAUCUAUGAGGUUCUACACUAAUCUAUCUCAGUCGAAAUUCAGCACUUGCUGUGUUAACUUUGUUGGGACAAAGCCAGAUAUCCUGCCUCACUCCUCUGCUUUCAUUCCAUUACAGGACAACACUUGUCAAGGAAAAGUGGCAAUUUCUCUUUGGAAUCCUAAUUCUAAAUCUAAAUCUGGCUGAAGGAGAUAUGAUCCAAAGAGGUGACUGAGCAGGAAGAGGAGGAAUCGAAGGAUUCAAAGAUGGGUUGCAACCAAUCGAAGAUCGAGAACCCCACUUGCCUCAAAAACACCGGUGCCGCCCUCAGCAACUUCGCCCCGGGGGAGGUUCAGAACCCUCAAUCGUCUGUGGGGAAGGGCGUGAAGCUGAAGCAAACGCCAAGUUUUGUGGAGGGAAAGAGGAUUGUGAAACAUUCCUGCAACAGAUAUUUGCUAAGUAAAUCGAUGAUGCCCUGAAAGCCAUUGACAAGGAUAUCUAGUCUCUACAGGAGAAAGAGGAGGGGAAUUCCUAUUUCUAUCAAAUCCCAGCAGUAACUGAUGAAUAUGAAUUUGAAAAUUCCAAAAAGGUGACCCCUGCCAAGGAGCCUGAAAUUGAUCCUGCAAAGCUGAAAGAGAUGAAGCGUGAGGAGGAAAUUUUAAAAGCAAAGGUUGACGAUGACAUUCAAGCCCCUUCUCCUGUGAAGGUUCCAUGGUGUAUCAGUAUCCUAUAUUUGGUGGCGUUGAAAAUGAAAUUGGUGAGACUCACGCACCAAUAUGGGACACCGAAGAAAUUGUUAUUGGUGUAGAUAUUGUCAGUGAUUAUAUUGAGGAGGAUAUUUCCGAGGAGCAUUAUGAAGUACAUGAAGAACAAGUUCGGCGAGAUAUUGCAACAAGUUGAAAAUGUUUUGCAUGCUCCAGAAUCAGAGCACCUGGCUGAAGCAGAAAGCUUAGAUAGUCCUAAAUCGACCACGAAAAUCUCAAUCUCAAUCGCAAUCCAAUUCCCAUUACCCUAAUCUUUUAAUCCUAAUUACCCCUAAUUCCUUUCUUUAUUUUAUCCUAAUUAAUAUAAUUUACACGUCACAAUUAUAUAUAUUUAUU